rfam:Devosia psychrophila strain Cr7-05 contig38, whole genome shotgun sequence.
UUUCGUGACCGGGCCCCUCUGGCGUCGGCGGCGCCUGCCGCGACGCGAUGUCGGAUCACCUUG